rnacentral:rRNA from 1 species
UACGUAGGGGGCAAGCGUUGUCCGGAUUCAUUGGGUGUAAAGAGCGUGUAGGCGGCCAGGUAGGUCGGUUGUGAAAACUGGAGGCUUAACCUUCAGAGGUCGACCGAAACCAUCUGGCUAGAGUCCGGGAGAGGAGAGUGGAAUUCCUGGUGUAGCGGUGAAAUGCGCAGAUAUCAGGAAGAACACCCGUGGCGAAAGCGGCUCUCUGGAACGGUACUGACGCUGAGACGCGAAAGCGUGGGGAGCGAACAGG